UAUUUAUAAUAUAUACAACCUGCCUGCCACCCUCUUCCGGUGGCAGUUGCAGUUGCACUUGCAGUUGGUAGUGCUUUCCACCACCCUUAUCUCCUGCAUCCUCUCUAUUCAGAAGCGCCUGCUGCAAGCAGAGCAUGAAGGGCAAUAGAAGACAAGAUGGAAUUGACAGCAAAAGAUGAAAUUAAGAGACAAAGGUGAUAUAAGAAAGGGUAGAUAAGAAUAUGACAAUGAGAAACAAAAGCCAAAUAUCGUGUCGUUUGGGUAAAAAGGAGAAGUUCGUGUACAAAAAUGAGUCAAGUGUUGGAAGUUUUCUGUUGUGUCUUGUUCACUGGAUUCUUGUGAGAAGUUGAAUCAAGACCAACUUUUGUAGCGUCAUCUCAUUUCAAAUUCUUUUGCCUUAAAAUAACUCUUGAGGCCUGCAAAGGGAGUUUUCAGACUUCACUUGCUUCGGAAUUAAAAUGUGCGAUUCGGAAA